CGUCCUCGCCCUCACGCAGACAACAGGCGUUUUGUCUGAGUCCUCUUUUGUUAGCGGCUUCUUUGUUUUGCCUUUUGUGUUCAUUAUUCAUUUCUGCUCUGAUUGCUUUGUCUCCUGUCAGCAGAGAACAGCAGGACUGCAGAUACAGCACGUCUGGGUAGACAGAACCGAGGACCCUGAGGUUCUCAAGGUGCUUCACAGUGGAACCCGUUUGACACAGAGGGAGGCUGAAGACGAGGAUCUAGUGGCCCGUUUAAACGGCCUGUGAUUUCUACGUCCUACGUUCCAUCAGGUGUCCAGGUUAUGCCUCAUCUCUGUGAAUCUGUCCACAUGAACGUGGUGGACGUCACUGGACCUGGGAGCAGAACACUGAGGUUUAGUAUCUGGAUGUGCAGAGCAAAGUCAAACGAUGAAAUGGGAGCUGAGACGACGCCUGAGGACCAGCGUUUUUCUCCUGGCACACGUCUUUCCUCAAGGCUGCAGGAACAGGGCUUUAAAGGUGAACAGAGACG